ACGCUCGACACCUACGGGGGCAGCAGUGGGGAAUAUUGCACAAUGGGGGAAACCCUGAUGCAGCGACGCCGCGUGAGUGAAGAAGUAUUUCGGUAUGUAAAGCUCUAUCAGCAGGGAAGAAGAUGACGGUACCUGAGUAAGAAGCCCCGGCUAACUACGUGCCAGCAGCCGACGGUAAUCUGAGGCGGGCUGGACGAAGGC
rnacentral:rRNA from 1 species